GCCCCGGUGGUGUAGCUCGGCCUAGCAUUGGAGCCUGUCACGCUUUAGACGCGGGUUCAAAUCCCGCCCGGGGCG
rnacentral:tRNA from 1 species